rfam:Gonapodya prolifera JEL478 unplaced genomic scaffold M427scaffold_57, whole genome shotgun sequence.
GGGAGUGUGGCCGAGUGGUCUAAGGCGCUACGUUCAGGCCGUAGUCUAUUCGUAGGCGUGGGUUCGAAUCCCACCGCUCUCA